rnacentral:lncRNA from 1 species
AUGCAUGCUGACUGGUUCUGGGUAGGGGAGACAUUACCUGGAUCUGAGCCAGUGUGUGUGUGUGUGUGGGGGGGGGGCGGCGUGGAGCAAACUGCAGGUGGCUCACCUGGAAAUUCAAUAAAUGUGGUCAGCAGCCAUGCUCAAAAGGAACGUGAUGGUAAUUAUAAUCAACGCAGUAAUAACUUAGAUCCUACCAUAAUUACGGCACACCACCAGCACAUCUUUGGCACAGCAUUGGUGCUUUCCAUUUGUCCCUUUAGGUCCACUGCAAUGAGGGUGCCCACCAUGGCGUCAAUCAGGGGGCUGGCACGGCGGUUCUUACUCACGUGCAUCACCCAUCUCUGCGAAUAAGCAACAAAUACAUCAUCACAGCUGGUAUUAAGCAACUUGGACAUCACCGGCAUCGAUUUUAGGGAGACCUUUAACCCUGCAGAGGAAGAGAAAUCAGCAGCUGUUCAGAAACCACACAAAGGAAGCGUCGCCAUCUAGCGGAGGCUCCGCGGUACUGCGCUUCAUCCAGGGAGGUAACACAAAAUCUGAAGCACAAUUUACACUCCAAAUCAGAAUAAUUCAACAUAGGCGCCGACGCUGCGGCUUAAAUCUCCUGAAGAUUGUCCGAUUAAUCUACCUGGAACAUUUAAAUGUGUAAAAACCACUCACAACCGUUACUGUUAACGAUUUGGACCAGAUUUGGCCCAAUAUUCGCUAUUCAGAGGUUUAACAAUGUUCCCAUUAGUCACAUUAGAUUGUAUUAAAUAACUACAGUCUAAAGCUUGAAGCGCCCCGAUGUAAAAUACAAAAUGACGACAUUAGAAACAUAUAGGCAUUAAAAUAAUUACUGCGUCACGGUGAGUUGUAUUUUGGCAGGUGUGCAGAGCAAUUGUGCGGCUUAAAACACUGCGUUUACAUCAUAGUUUAGCUUAGUUUCCCAUAAAUCACUCCAUGCGUGCACAACUGCGGGAAAACGUCAAUAUUACGAAGAAAUUCUGACCAAACGUGACAGGCAGGACUGUCAAUUUCCUGUCUUUUGUCGCCACCAGGUGGUGAAACGAGCGCAGUGCAGCACGCGCAGAGGGGUGGAGACGGGAAUAAAUGAAGGGAAGAGAAUUCAAACGCUCUUCCUGGAAAUCGUGGAGAACCCGCCACAACUUCGCCACAUGACAUUUCAGAAAGGAAAUGCGACACUUCUUCCUCCACCGACCCAGCUGGCCGUGGCUCAUUCAAGGCUGCGUGAUUUCCCGCAAGCGAGAACGCACCGCAGCCCUCCGCCGCGGGAUCACACCCACGGAGGCGAGCCGUCGCCUUUUCGCGCAUUUUGAACGCGGCGCGAUU